rnacentral:rRNA from 1 species
AUACGGAGGAUGCAAGCGUUAUCCGGAUUUAUUGGGUUUAAAGGGUGCGUAGGCGGAUGAUUAAGCGUGAGGUGAAAUGCCACUGCUCAACAGUGGAACUGCCUCGCGAACUGGUUGUCUUGAAUGCUACUGCCGUGGGAGGAAUGUGUGGUGUAGCGGUGAAAUGCAUAGAGAUCACACAGAACACCGAUUGCGAAGGCAGCUCACGAAGGGGUGAUUGACGCUGAGGCACGAAAGCGUGGGGAUCAAACAGGAUUAGAUACCCUGGUAGUCCACGCAGUAAACGAUGAUAACUAACCGCUGGGUCGUAGUGAUUCAGUGGCCAAGCGAAAGCGAUAAGUUAUCCACCUGGGGAGUACGACCGCAAGGUUGAAACUCAAAUGAAUUGACGGGG